rnacentral:sRNA from 1 species
GCUAGGCAUGGUGGUGCACAUCUGUAAUCCCAACACUCGGGAGGCUGAGGCAGGAGGAUUGUUGUGAGUUUGAGACCAGCCUGGGCUACAAAGUGAGCUCAAGGCAAGCCUGAACUGCGUAGGGAGACCCUGUCUCAAAAAGACCAAAAAAAAAAAAAAAAAACAAAAGACAGGGUCUUGCAAUGCAGUUCAGGCUAGCCUUGAGCUCGCUUUGAAGCCCAGGCUGGUCUCGAUCUUGCAAUGAUCCUCCUGCCUCA